rnacentral:rRNA from 1 species
GGGAUUCGAUUUAGCCAUGCUAGUCGAACGAGUUCACACUCGUGGCACAUAGCUCAGUAACACGUGGCCAAGCUACCCUUCAGUCAGCAAUACCCUCGGGAAACUGAGGCUAAUAGCUGAUACGAAACAGACGCUGGAAUGCACUGUAUUCCAAAGACACCGCUGAAGGAUGCGGCUGCGGCCGAUUAGGUAGACGGUGGGGUAACGGCCCACCGUGCCAGUAAUCGGUACGGGUGAUGAGAGUCAGAGCCCGGAGACGGAAUCUGAGACAAGAUUCCGGGCCCUACGGGGCGCAGCAGGCGCGAAACCUUUACACUGCACGAAAGUGCGAUAGGGGAAUCCCAAGAGCGAGGGCAUAUUAGCCCUCGCUUUUGUUGACUCUAAGGCGGUCAACGAAUAAGAGCUGGGCAAGACCGGUGCCAGCCGCCGCGGUAAUACCGGCAGCUCAAGUGAUGUCCCAUAUUAUUGGGCCUAAAGCGUCCGUAGCUGGCCGCGCAAGUCCGUCGGGAAAUCCACCUGCCCAACAGGUGGGCGUCCGGCGGAAACUGUGUGGCUUGGAACCGGAAGGCUCAGAGAGUACGUCCGGGGUAGGAGUGAAAUCCCGUAAUCCCGGACGGACUACCGAUGGCGAAAGCACUCUGA